rnacentral:rRNA from 1 species
CAGUCGCCACGGGAAUACAGAGGUCCCGAGCGUUGUUCGGAUUCACUGGGCGUAAAGGGUGUGUAGGAGGUUUGGUAAGUCAGGUGUGAAAUCUCAGAGCUUAACUCUGAAACUGCGCUUGAUACUGCUUGGCUAGAGGAUCGGAGGGGGUAACGGAAUUUAUGGUGUAGCAGUGAAAUGCGUAGAUAUCAUAAGGAACACCGGUGGCGAAGGCGGUUACCUGAAAGAUUCCUGACUCUGAAACACGAAAGCCAGGGGAGCAAACGGGAUUAGAUACCCCUGUAGUCCCUGUCUCUUAUAC